AUAGCCGCCUAAGCUCUAUGUUCUUCUACCCCGUACACAUUUCUCUCUCCCUCUUACUGACUGACUGAAUGACCGACUGGCUAGUCGAGUAACGUCGUCGUCGGCUACAUGCAUGGCUUGAAAAGGUGUGGUUAUCGUCUCACCGGCAUCUGGUGAGCGGACACGCAUGGAGAUGAUGCGUGCAUGCGAAAUAAUUGAAUCGAUCGACGGAUCGUGCGUUUGGGCGCAGCUGUCUAUAUAUGCUAGUCCCCGAGAUUAGUUGAUAACGUUACAGAACAGUUCGAGGGACUUCAAGAUCAAGAUUUCGAAGAUCACUGAGCAGCAUCCAGGCAAGUGUCCUUGAUCACAUUGACCCCGUUAUAGGAAAGAGUGUCUUUUACUUUCUAAGUUGCAUGCUUGUCAAUAUGAAUCCCAUGGCUAGGGUUUACUAGAUUCUUCCAUGAUUAUCCUUGUCACUUGUGUUGUAGUUUGGCUAUCGUGGAUAGAAAUACUUAGUCAUGUUGUCGAGUCAGGUGGUUUAAAUGUUAAUCUGUUUAAUGGUCUAUGCAACAUGAACGGGUUUGGUAGUCUUGGUAGCAAUAUGGAUACCUAGGGACUUGGGCAAGUGGACCGAGGGUGGUUGUGACAUUAUGGUUAUCUCUGGUGAUGGUAUUCUACAGUUGGCCUAUGGACACGUUCCAGGUGGAUUUGUUACUCUAGUAUUCAUGAUGGUUAAUUUACCCUUGUGGCUAGUGGUAGUCUUGCCCAAGUCAGUAGCUAAGGACCGGUUCAUGGACAUGUAACCCAGCACAACAACGCAACCAUGAGACAUAUAUGGAUAUGGCCUGGCCAAUUAAUUUGCCACCCAUCUGGUUCUAUGAAUACCAUUGGAAGGUUGAGUGGCACAUGAGGGGGCUUUUGCAGUGAUGGAAUCACUGUUAGCAGUGAAACUUCAGUGGGUGCUUGCAGUUUGGUGGGAGCUUUGUAACGGUCUUGUAGUGAUCUCCUAGCGCACACCUCAGAAGUGUGUAAGUGCUUGGCCAGUAUGUCAACAUGGAGACUGUCAUCUAGUAAUGCGGGUGAUGAAAUCACGACUUGUGGGUAAAAUGUGCAGACUCUGCAGAGUAUAAAACUGAUCGAUCAGCCGUGCUCACGGUCAAGAGAGGGCUUGGACUUCUUCUGGAUUAGUGGGGAUCUUGGAUGGUUGGUUUUGGGUAGUCGGGUGGUGGUACCCCGAUGAGUUGGUAGCCGGAUAUAGGAUAUCUGGUGAGUUUGGUAGUCGGAUGGAAUCCGAUGAGUUAUUCCUUUAAUGUUGGUUCAUCACACAUAGUAAAUAGAAUUGCUAAGUUCUUUUUAGUCCUAGAUUAGGAUGGCAUAGAUGCAGUAAACCGGAGUCAAACCUUUCUUGUCUUAAGCCCUCAUGUCAUGCUUUACCACACUUGCGGAGUACGAUAUGUAGUCACACUUGCUAUUUCUAAUAAUAAAUGCUGCUCGGUUGGAGAAGACUAUGCGGAGAUCAAGGAAGAUGAAGGCUAUAAGGAAGACAGAGCGUCCUAGGUUACGUUGCCCCCAGUAGAUUGCCUGUGGUGUGCUUAGAAGAUCCAUAUGAGUCAUCUUUUGUUCUUACACUAUUGUCUUGUAGACUCUUGUAUUUAUUUCAAUAAAGUUAUUCUAUUCGAUAUAGAACUGUAUAUCACUUAUAAUGCCACUACAUGUAUGAUGAAACUCUUGGUAUACAUAUGAAAUGCACCUAGUUAUUCUUUUGAAAAACCGGGUAUGACAAGAACAAAGAUCUGCACACAUCUCUUCUCCUUCAUCCUCUCCAGUGCUCAGAUCUACAUGCCGACAAGCGAGUUCCAUGGCCUCCACCAUGGGGCCUUGGUGAGAUCCAUGGCCACCAUCAUUGAGCUUCACGACGGCCGAAUCCAUGGCCACUCCAGUCGAGCUUCACAAUCACCAGUGCGAGGCUUCAUAGCUCUGAGCUCCCUGGUCACCUCCGCGUAAAGGUAGAGCUCUAUGGUUGGACAUGUCAGGUCCUCCUUAGCUGUUGUAGCUACGCCAUCCGUAGUGGUGGAUGACGAGGCUCUAUAGCACGAUGACACACUCAUAGAUGGGGUCAGUCAACAGGAUGGAGUGAACGAAGAAGACGACGAGAGAGCAAUCUGAUUUCUAUUUCAACCUUCCUUCACUAACCAAACUAAAUAAUUGAAUUGGAACUUUAUUUCUAUUUCCACAUGGAUUUGAAUUUGAGCAUUAACUCAAUUCAUCUAGACCAAUUCCGCAAUCCAAACAGAGCCUUAGGGAAAAUGUAUGGAAUAUUAGAUAGGAAUGGAGAUGUGGUGGAUUAAAAUCCGAGUGAAUUUUUUUAGGAAACACUACUACAAGAAAUACUAUCAUUGUCGGUUCAUAACUAGCAUCAUUGCUAGUUUUUGAACCGAUAGUGAAUAAGCGACAAUGAUAGUCAGUUAUUAUCAUGGUCGGUUUUUAUUAAAGACCACAGUACGUGAAAAACAGACAAAAGAGAUAUGAAAUUAAUAACAUGUCAAAGUUGUCACUUGUCACCUAUGACAUUAUUGGUGACGAGUCUUACCGGUCACCAAUGACGACUCAUCAGUGACACGUUCAGAAUGACAAAUACGGGACUCGUCACUAAUAACGAUUACCAUCUGUCACAAUUGACUUUUUUUCACAUAGUUCCAUCAAUGAUAAACAUAAUAUCAUUAUGCGCUGGGUUGCCAACCAAACACCGAUAGAUUUUACAAAGUGCAAAAAAAAGGUGUCAGCCAUCCCAUCAUUGCCAGCACCGGGAUCCAUAGCACGAGCUAGUGCACAUCCACGUCGUUGUCGCCAAUCACACAUGCCUCUUCACCGAGCCACCAUUGGAGCUACGUCAACAUGAAGCGCAUUUGUGCAAGGCGAUGCACCAGUAGAAAGAUCUGUAGGAGGUGGCCGAUGGGAUCAAGGAGGAGACCAUCAGUGCUCAUUACUACAAAAACCGUCAUCAAUAUCAGUUUAAAAUUACUAUCAAUGCUGGUUCAACAAUCAUCAAUGAUAGUUUCUUGAAUGCUCUUAGGCUACCGUAACGAUAAGAAUGAAUUCCGACGUGAGGAUUAUCACUACCUGUUUCUAAACUGGCAGUGAUAAUAAGCCAUUAAUGCCGGUUUGAGACAUGAACCGAUAUUGAUAGCCUAAUAUCACUCCCGAUUUGAGCUACAAACCAGUAGUGAUAUCACCACGGUUACUACCAGUUCUUGGCUUGCACCGACAGCGAUAAUUUUACACCUACAAAAAACAAUCAUAUAGUUUACAUACAGUUCAUCAUCACAUAUCGCAUAUGGUUCAAUACAGAUAAUCAUGACUUAUCAUAUAUGGUUGACAUGCAGUUCAUCAUUCACUCGUAGUUUCAUCAUUUAUUUGUGUACGAAUUAAAUAGUAGGAAAUAGCAUGCAAAAUUAUAUACCUUAGCAUCAUUUAGAACAUUUAGGAGGACUUCAUCUUCGUCAUCAUAGAAUACGUGCAAGUGAGUGAAAAGUACAUAUUAUUAUGUUUGGCAAAGAAAAUUUUACCGAGCCAGAGGGGGGAGGUGGUCCAAUAGUCCUAAGAUGAACAACCUAAUGCACCUUCCACCCUUCAGUCUUGCUGAAAUCUGCCCUGCUAUAAUCUCUUAAAGUUUGGUUGCUAAUUCUAGGAGAGAAAAGGCAAAGAGAGAAGGAAUAUGGCACCAAAUCUAAUGCAUCUUUCUCUCCCCUGCCUUGGUAUAAUCUUCUAUGAUAUUGUCUCUCAACAGUGGCAAUCAAAUCAACUUCAAAAUAUUAUUUGUGAAACACUGCAUUAGAUAAAAGUAAUGUAAGAUACAAUACCUCAGUGACAACUAUUAUCGUUGGCAAUUAUCACCUUUAUUGGCUUGCGUAAAAAGGGCCUCAACUCAGAGGCACAAUUCAAAAAAGUAAGAACAUGCAGAGUGUUAAGAGAGACUGAAUAAGAAGACAUGUAAUUGUGAUACUCAAGCUACUAACCUUUAACCAUAUAAGUGCAUAAUCAUUACAAACCCAUGUGAGCUAUUAUAUACUUUACUCAUUAGAAAAUGAGAGCAAGCCCUUUCGCCGAGGAAUGACAAGAAAAAUUCUUCAUUUGUGCCUUAGUUGUGUAUCCCAAAAAUUUAAAUGUGAUAUCAUGAGUAGUAAGGUUUAGGUAAUUUGCACGAGCUAAAUCCUAAUACCACACAACAACAUAUUUAAACUUAAUUUGACAUGGUAUCAUCAUUGUCCUAUUUAAUCACUGAGAGGAUAAAUAUAGCUAAAAUUCAACCAAAUUUUUAUAAAAGAAAACUAAUCCACUAAACUCAUAAAUACAUAAUUGACCUAAAAUCAUUUACUAUGCACCUAAAAUUGUGGAGGUCGUGGCAACUCAGGGCGGGAACCAAGGCUUCAAGAUGGAACAGGCCGGGGAGGGCAUGGUGGCGUCAUUGAAGUCGUCAGCACAACAUGGAAGCUGAGGCUUCAGGACAGAGAAGUCUGCGGAGGGUGUGGUUGCAUCAGUUUCAUGGAGGCCUACGGCAGUGCAAGGCAGAAGUCAAGGCUUCAUGACAUAGGAUGUCUGGGAGGGUAUGGUGGCGUGGUGUCAUGGAAGAAGGGAGAAAAAGAUAAGUGUUUAAGAUGGAUGGAUAAGGAUAAUAAUAUAAGGCUGCAACACUAUCAUUGUCGGAUCAAGUAACCAACGCCAAUAAUAGCCAAUCACUGUUGGUCCAUAACUCUAACUGAACCGAGGCAUCAAUGAAAAUCUAUCACUACAGAUGCUAACUAGAAAUGUCACUAAUACUAUCAACAUAAAAUACAACUAAAAGUACGAAUAGGUAACCAGAACGUAGAAGAAACAAUCUAAAAAUUGCGAAGAAAAUUAACUUAGUAUUAAAAAUUACGAAUAUAAGUAACUAAAAUGUAUGUAACUUAAUAUUAAUACAUAAGAAGUUUAUUACAAUGUAGUUUAAGCAUUCAGAACAAUCCUCCAUAUGUAAAAACUACGUACAUAACCCUCUACCUCAUCGUGCAGCCCCAAGUGGAUCACCCUAUAGAAGAAAACAAUGUCGCUAGCCUUUCCUCCGUCACCGCCCAUCCUUACUCGUCCACCACCACCAGUCUCCCCUCUAUCUCCACCAUCGUCAUCUUCGGAGGAUGAGGCAAUGGCAUCUCCCUCUGAUGAUGACCUCUCCUUCUCUUCCCACAAUCUCUCCUACUCCUAGUGCGAUGAGGACUGAGAGCAUUUCAUGGAGGGCACUCCAACCCAACGUUACCUGACGAUGAGCUCAGAGGAGGAAGAGGCCAGUGUAGAGGAUGUCGCGUCCUCUGAGGAGGAGAAGGAGGAUGCGGUUGGCUCUAAAGACUCCUCCACAGAGGAGGAGGAGGCCAGCUAGCAUCAAGGAGGAUGGGGAGGAGGAGCCGCAGUCAUCAUCGUCAAACAAUGAUGGCCUGUCAGUAAAGAAGUCUAAGCUAGCAUAAGAAUAGGCAAGCUAUAGCAUAGGCUUAGUGAUCUUUUGCAAUCUAGAUGUUAGUUUUUGUGUAAUAUGAACUUCUUUGUAAUUAGGAGUUAUAUAUUUUAUAAUCGACCAAAACCUUAUUUCUUAAUGUAAUAAUAUAUUUCUUAGUAUAAUCAUAUAUUUCUUAAUGCAAUUAGAAACUUAUUUUAUAGUUACUUCAUUAGUCUAAACUUUUCAACUUUAAACUUGGUGUCUUAUUUAGGACUGUCGGCUCACUGCCGACUCGUGACAUCAACUAGUAGUAAUAAUGUGUAUAUCUUUGUCAAUUUUACCCAUAAAUCGAUAGGGAUGUACCACUACCAAUUUGUGUUAUGAAUCAGCAAUAAUAUGAGAUAUCACUAUUGGUUCUACUAAAAUCAUCAUUUUUUCUGUCAUUGGUUAUAAACCAACAGUGGUAUCUUAUCAUUAUUGAUGUAGCAAGAUCGGUACUAAUAGGCGAUUACGAAUUGGGGUUUCUGCGUAGUGGCCGUAGCUUUGGCUCGGCUUCGGGUGGAGGAGGAUGACGGUUGGGGUAGUGAAUUUGGGUGGACGAGGUCGAGGAGGCCAUGAUGUGGAUCUGGAGGAGGAGGCGACCGGCAGGGUCGAGGAGGCCAGUGGUACCUUGGAUAUGAGGCCAUCAGCAUUGGAGCUUGGGCUCAGGCUUUGGGUGGAGGAGGAUGACGAAUGGGGCAGUAGCUUCGGGUGGACAAGGUCGAGUAGGCCAGCGGCAAUGUGGAUUUUGAGGAGGAGGCGAUGAUGUGUCAAGGAGGAGGCCGAGGCUACGGCUUUGGGUUAAUGAGGUUGUGGAGGCCGGUGGUUCGAGGAUGCCCAUGAGUCACAAGGAUGUCGGCCUCACCUUGGAAUGCUCCUUGGUGAUCUUUUUUGUGGAUCCAGGCAUGCAGCGACGGCAUAGGCAGGAAGAGGCUUGGCGGUGAGGGCUCCUCGAUGAUGCGCAAGGCCAUGAACUAGGCCCUGUCACUCUGCGAGGAGAGCUCUGAGAGGAAGAUCUCUCUGCUUACCUUCAUGGCGGUGGUGCUCUCUGUUGCUUGUCUUCAUGGGUCAAUUUGGGAGGAAAGAGAUGAGAAGGAAAAAAAAUCUAUGUAGUUUUUCAAAAUUAAAGUUGUCAUGUGGUGCAGUUUAGAGCAAUGCCUCUAUGGUGGGGUUAGUUCCCUCUCUUUGAAAGAACUUUUUUCCGUUUUGGUUAGGCUUACGUGAGAAGCCUCUUAGGCAAUUUGGCUAGCCAAUUUGGAUUGGGCUUCUCCCUUUUUAAAAUUGUUAGAGGGAAUGUUUCUUUGUACCCAUGGCAUUUUUUACUAGGCAUUACCGGAUUGGUUCAUGCAACCACUUGGAACUAUUACACUGUACACGCCGCCUACCUGCCGUCUAGAUUCAAUUAAAGACCACGGUUUCGUUCGGUUCAACAUGGCCGAUCGAAAUUAAGGCUAGAAAAUCCAUUCAACUCUAUACACACUUACAAAUUAAGGAUAGAAGACAGGAAAUUAACCUACUGCCUCAUGUUGAUCAUCUUGAGCUUAAAAGCAGCGUCUCCGAAGGACGUCCAGGAACCGACCGGUCCGAGCGGCAAACCACCGCCAUCGCACUUGAAGCGGCGGCACGAGACUAA